UCGAGAAUCUUCGGCAAUGGGCGAAAGCCUGACCGAGCGACGCCGCGUGCGGGAUGAAGGCCCUCGGGUUGUAAACCGCGAAAGUAGGGAGGAAGUCGUUGGGGGUUCUCCCCCAAUGUUGACCUAUCUACAGUAAGGACGGGCUAAGUUCGUGCCAGCAGCCGCGGUAAUACGAACCGUCCAAACGUUAUUCGGAAUUACUGGGCUUAAAGGGUACGUAGGCGGCGCUGUUAGUCGGGUGUGAAAGCCCUCGGCUCAACCGAGGAAUUGCGCCCGAUACUGCAGUGCUCGAGGGAGACAGAGGUAAGCGGAACUGAUGGUGGAGCGGUGAAAUGCGUUGAUAUCAUCAGGAACACCGGUGGCGAAAGCGGCUUACUGGGUCUCUUCUGACGCUGAGGUACGAAAGCUAGGGUAGCGAAGGGGAUUAGAUACCCCCGUAGUCCUAGCCGUAAAACGUUGAGCACUUGAUCGUGGGCCCCGACACG
rnacentral:rRNA from 1 species